GAUUUCUGGCUUGUGUCAUCUGACCCGCCACGGUUACGUGUGUGAGUGUCGGUAUGAAACUGCCAUCACUUCUAGAACUACUUCAUACUCUUCAUUGAGCCGUGAGGUGUGAUCUAGAUCUUUUACUUUGAAAAAAUUAGAGUGUUUCAAGCAGGCUUUAUGCUAUGAAUACAUUAGCAUGGAAUAAUAAUUUAGGACUUCGGUUCUAUUUUGUUGGUUUCUAGGACUGAAGUAAUGAUUGAUAGGGAUAGUUGGGGGUGCUAGUAUUCAGCGGCCAGAGGUGAAAUUCUCGGAUUCGCUGAAGACUAACUUAUGCGAAAGCAUU
rnacentral:rRNA from 1 species